GGAAGGAGCCGGGGUUGGAGGAGAAGUCAGGGGGAAGAGGUGGAAGAGAACCAGAGAGUCAGGGAGUGGGCCCACCCAGGGGGCAAACUCGAGCAGGGUCCACCACUCAGCCCUUCAGCUGUUCAUUCGGCAAACACUCAUCAGGCCGUCGGAUAUGCCAGGCACCACGCCAGUCACCGAGGAUCCAGCAACAAGUCAAACGCCAUCUCAUUGUAAACUCAGGGUUCUGGGGCUGGGCAGCCCGGCCAUGUCUUCAUAAGGCUGACCCUCUGCCAGGCCUUCCACCCAACGUGAGCAGGAAGGAAGCUCAUUUAUGGGGUUCCCACUCCUUUCAAUGGACCUGGGGCCAUCAGGGAGCAGCUUAGGGGAGAAAGGGGACGCAGCCCAGCUCAGCAGCGCCCAGCCCAGGGAGUGUCCCGUGGCAGUAACCGUGUGCAGCGUUUCUAUGAUAUGACGUGAGGCUUGUGUUGCAAGCAGGAGCCUGGGUUGCCGCCAGCGGGGACUCUGUCUGGGCAGGCACAGCUAUAAACCUGUUUAUGGGAAAGGGAGUGACGUCUGCAGUUUGGACAAGAUCGGGACUUUAUUCAGGGUCCGUGGGGGAGGAGAGAGGCCAGCAAGUGAGGCGGUGAGGGUGGAUGGGAGAAGAGAAGGAGAGGUUCUAGGCACCCCUGCUCAGGAAGAGAACAUGGGCUGUCAGGGUCUGGGGUGGGUUGGGAAGAGGAUCCAUCAGGAAUGAGCUGGGACAUGAGCUCUGAUGGAUACGGAAAGUAUGGAUGAUAGUUUCCUUCCAUUGGAGGAAUGUCCUUCUCUGAAAAGCAGCUACAACAGAGACAAAAGUGGAGCCGUGAAGCUAAGGUCAAUCCAGUUCAGCCAAGAGGCACCUCUUUUCUUCUGUGGGUUCCCCACUAGUGCUCCCAAAGCACCUGCCAGCUUGGAAGACAGGUGGGUGAUCUCCACCUGAAGGCAGGAAGACCAAGGCAUCGGGGUGCUCACCGGUGUCCCCACUACACUGGGUUUUGAACACAGAGUCCCACCCAUUUCCAGCCAUCUCCUUGAGGAACCACAAGAAGAGUCAAGAUGUGGAAGCCAUAAACCACCAGGAAUGUGAGCUCUCUCGGCAAGGAGUCCUGAGCGGCUGGGCGCACACAUCACACCUCCUGGAUACUCUCCCAGGCCAGGGGGCUGCUGGUGGGUCCCUGUGCAGACACCCAGGGAAGUGGAUUGAUGGAGGAGAGAGUGUCCUGGCUUUCUUGAAAAAGUGCCCAGAGGGCUGAGAAGCUGGUGGAGAAGGUGGGAAGGCCUAGAGCAGGAGCUGCCGAGCCCCCAGACAGACAGCCCGGGAUUCCAACCCUACCUGCUCUGCCCACACCCCUGGGCUCCCCAGGCCAGAGACUCUAAGUUCUUCUCAGAAAGCAUGUGCCCCACGAGCUACGUGCUGGAAAUCCCACAACACGGAAAAUGCCAUCACCAGGGAGGGAAAAUGUUUAAGAGGAGGAGUAGACGCGGAUGAAGAUGAGGAUUUGGCCUGGUCUCUGGACAAAGGCUGGGAGAAGCCAGCUGUCAAUAGACACGGUGGUGGGAGGUUGGAGAGCCAAGGGACCCAGACCCCAUGUGGGCAGCGGAGACUCUCUGCGGGGGCAGAGCCAAGAGCCUGGAACUCUGAGGUUGGCAGAGCCGGUGGCCUGGAAGGUUCCUGAGAAGCCUGGGACUGGUAGGUGGGUCUGAGCUGUGAGGAAGCAGCCUGAAGGCCAGACAGUGGGUCUGUGCUGGGCAACUUUCCCGUCCCUGGAGAGCCCCUCACCCCCAGCAAGCAAGGCCCCAGGGGGAUGGGAUGCUGGAAGCUGCCUCCCCCCGCAGCUGAGACAUCCUCACCAGCUCAGCGAUAGAGCGGCUGGCACUGGGGCUUCUCACCCUACCUCAGCACCCAGAACAAGGAAAGCAGAGAACAAAAGUGCAUUCACUCCCACCCCCAGGCCUGGGGUGCCGGGGGGCAGGCGCAGGGCAGUUCUUCCAUGAAAUGAGCCUGGGGGAUCUAGGAGGGAGCCCACCCAGAGCCCAGGACUGGGGCUCCAAGGCUUUGAAUCCAGUUACCACCACCUCUAGGCAGGUGGCCUUCACAGGUGACCAAACUUGGUGCCUCGGUCACUCCAUUUUUCCUGGAGGUAGUAGGAGGGCCAUCUCCCAGCCAGGUGUGGGAUGAACUGCGAUCAGGCCUACAGAGUUUGACCUGAAACUGGAGGGGCUUUGAUUUUAUAUUGAGAAGAACUCUCUAAUUUUUUUUCUUGUGAUGAGAACUUUUAAGAUCUACUCUCUUAACAGAUUUCCAAUACACAAUACAGUAUUAUUAACUAUUGUCACCAUGCUGUACCUUACAUCACCAGGACUUAUUUAUUUUAAAAAGAAAAGGUUAUACCCUUUGACCGGGAGAAGAAGAAGAAGAAGGAGGAGGAGAAGCCUCCACUUCUGGGAAGUUCAUCCACAGUCUGUCUCAUCACCCCAUGGCCGCCCUUGCCCCCAUCCUAGCUCAGGGAUGGGGGGAGGCCCCUCCCCAGGAGGAGGCUCUGAGGUCAGAAUCGGCUCUCCUGGCAAGGCCUGGCUUCUGUGUAUGGCCUCACCUGUGGGUACAGCUGAGCCCAGAACCAGAGCCGGAACCUGAACAAGAAUUGCAACCGGAACUGGAAGGGAAGCCCCAGCAUUCCCUGAAAGGCAAAGAGGGCAGAGGAGGCUGCCUGACCCCACAGAGGCACAAGGUGUAAGUCACAUGGAAGGAGGCGAGGCCAGCUCUGCCUGAGUCACUGAGGGCUCCACGGCGGGGAGGACCGCUGAGGAAGAGGGGGAGCACCCAGGCCCCUGCUCGGCACCAUCCCACUCAAGUCCUGUGCUGCUCAGGGGAGGCCGGCGCCAGCCACCUUGGAGUCCUCCUGGUCCAGGCAGAAGCACCACUGCCCGGGGAGGGGCGCCGGGGAGGCUGGUCGGCAGCUCUGGCUGGGGAGCAGGGGGUCUCCAGGCCUCACGUGCGGGCUGGACCCCCCCACACAAACCCAAAGUCUAACCAGACUGAACUUUCUGCAGCUCCCGGAAGGCCCUGCAAGGAGCACUCACCCUGGGGCUCUUUCACACGCUGCUUCUUUGCCACUCCACCCACUUUGGGUAUUCGUUUAGUUGGCAUAUCCUCCAAGAACUGCUUCUUGACACCCCGUCACCCCCAUCCAGGCCAAGCGACCCCUCCCCGCCCGCUACCCCCACCCCCCAACCCCGCUCCUCCGAGUUCCCUGGUGGCUGACCCCGUCACGCUGCCUUGUAACCUUCCAUUCCUCCCACCACCAGGCCAGCUCUACGGCCAUCAGCGUCUCACUCAGUGCCCAGCACACAGUGGGGGCCUGAUAAAUAUCUGUUGAGUUAACGGAUGAUUAAAACAGAACAAAAGAAAGAGCAGACUGUGGGCAUCUUGUGGAUUCUGCCCUGAAGCCCACAGUUUCCGGAGCAUCGCCAGGCACUCAUCUGGGGCUUGGCAAGAACAGAUCAGGGUACAAGUGCUGAGAUGCCGACGGCAGCCGUGAGGCAGUUACCCCAUGGAGGUCGGAGUAGGGCAGGGCGGCUCCAGAAAGGAGAUGAGCUGGUAAAGGUUUAGGGCUGGGGAACCUGACUCAAAUUUCCCACAAAUCUGACACUUUUCAGGGAAGCCAAGUAGACGAGACGUUGUCAGGGCAAUGGCAGCCUGUCCGUCUGGUUAGAGUGCUGGCUCUCAGGCCGCAAGGCAACCAGAGCAGCCUGGGAGACACAGGGUGGCUGAGCUGCGGGGAGCAAGAAGAGAAAGCAAGAAGUAGCACCUUCCCUAACCUCCCCACACCGGCUGCUUGCUGCUGUGCAGCCAGGUCUUCAAGACACCGCCCUCACCCAGUCUGCAGCCACCAGAGCCCCAGCGCGGCAGAUCUGGAGGCAUCAGUGGACAGAGGGCGGUGGGCAGGCAGGGGAAGGGAGGGAGCUAGGCAGGUGGGAAAGAAAAAAGAAAGCAGAGCGGCAGGAAGGAGAAAACAGAACAAGAGAGCAGCAGACAGCAAGAACUAAAGUGAGUAAAUGAGAGGGAGGGGAAGGCAGAUCCGGUGGAGAAGGCUUGUGUCAAAACAUACUUCCCAGACUCCAAAACCCUUUCCCCGGCACUGCUUAAAUGAACGCACAACAGCUCCAGGAGGUAUCAUUAUCCUGUUCUUUCCUUUUAUUUUAUUUUACUUUUUAUUACGGAAAACUUCAAAAAUACACAGAGUAAACAUAAUGGUUUAAUUUAAAUCCCUAUGCACACAUGGCCUUGCUGUAACAAUUAUCUCACCGUGCCAUUCUUCCUUUCACUGUAUUUUCACCCACUCAAUUUUUAUUAUUUUUUGACAUGACUACUUUUAGGAACAUUUACAUACCUUAAAAUGUACAAAUAUAGCUGUAUAAUGUUGAUAAAUGUUUAUAUCCAAGUAACCCGCAUCCCUGUCAUAAUAUGACAUAUUACCAUCUCACGGGCAAGUUCUCCAUGUUCAUUCCCAGUCAAUCCCACCACCUACCUCCACCCCAAACUGACCUAAUUUGUAGCUAACAAUAGUUUUGCCUAAUCUAGAACUUCACAUAAGUGGAAUCAUACCAUAUGUACUCCUGAGUGCCUUGCUCCUUUCUCACGGCAUAUUAUUUUUGAGACUCAUAUAUCUUGAUGCGUACAUCAGUAGUUGGUUUCUUUUCCAUUGCUGACCAGUACUCCACUGCAGGAAUGUAUCCGAAUCUGUCUAGUGAUUCUCCUGUUGAUGAGCAUUUGGGCUGCUUCCAGUAUGUGACUAUUGUGAAUAAAACUUCUAUGAACAUUUGUUUUUGUGGGCAUAUGUUUUCACUUCUCUUGGAUAAAUACCUACGAGGGGAAUUACCGAGUCAAAGAGUAGGUGUACAGGUGUAUGUUUAAGUU